rfam:Hordeum vulgare subsp. vulgare, WGS project CAJW01000000 data, contig: morex_contig_45849
AUAAUACUCCCUUCAUCCGGGAUUACUUGUAGAAAUGAACGUUUCUAGAUGUAUUUUAAUUCUAGAUACAUCCAUUUUUAUCAAUUUAUACGACAAGUAUUUACAGACGAAGGGAGUAUGAU